rnacentral:lncRNA from 1 species
AUAGAAUGCAACGGAGACACUGAUGGCGUGACGUAAUAAAUCAAUCAAAAAACUUUUUUUUAGAAAUAUAUGUCCGAUUAUGAUUAUAAAAAAGUAUUUUUAUUAUACUUUUAUUUGAAAAGAAAAAAUAUGUUUGACUUGUUAUUAAUGACGUGGUGCAAGUGUGAUAGUGUAGAAUUCCUCACUCACAAGGAAAGGAAAAAUUCUAGAAUGCAAUGGAUAUAUUGGUGACGUGGCGUAACAAAUCAAUCAAAAUUUUUCUUUUAAAAAUAUAUGUCCCAUCAAAAUUAUAAAAAAAUAUUUUUAUUUUACUUUUGUUUGAAAAGAAGAAAAGUGAUUGACUUAUUAUUGAUGAUGUGAUGUAAGUAUGAUAGUGUAGAAUUCCUCCAAGGGGAGGCAUAGGAUUGCGGAGACCACGCGAAUGAGAGGAG